AAAGUCAAUGGGAACAUAGAGCGGAUAAGUUAUCAAGCAAGGCGUGUAAAUGUUAAAUACCUUGGACUCUCAUAGUGUUUGGUGAUCAUCAGUAUCUCUGAAGAGUAUUAAGAUUGAUCCAGGCCUGAUCUCUGAGUAGUGUCAGACCCACUGUAUGUGAGAAAGUUCAAUAUUUGCUGUCAACAGAAGAAAUGGAUUUUGCAGUCUUUUGAAACUCCAGUUUCUCCAAAACACACAGCUUGCAAGGAACAACAAUGAAUAUGCUGGAACUUGAGAAAUGUGG
rnacentral:lncRNA from 12 species